rnacentral:rRNA from 1 species
AUUGAACGCUGGCGGCAUGCUUUACACAUGCAAGUCGAACGGCAGCACGGACUUCGGUCUGGUGGCGAGUGGCGAACGGGUGAGUAAUACAUCGGAACGUGCCCAGUUGUGGGGGAUAACUACUCGACAGAGUAGCUAAUACCGCAUGAGAACUGAGGUUGAAAGCAGGGGAUCGUAAGACCUUGCGCAACUGGAGCGGCCGAUGGCAGAUUAGGUAGUUGGUGGGAUAAAAGCUUACCAAGCCGACGAUCUGUAGCUGUCUGAGAGGACGACCAGCCACACUGGGACUGAGACACGGCCCAGACUCCUACGGGAGGCAGCAGUGGGGAAUUUUGGACAAUGGGCGAAAGCCUGAUCCAGCAAUGCCGCGUGCAGGAUGAAGGCCUUCGGGUUGUAAACUGCUUUUGUACGGAACGAAAAGCUUCGGGUUAAUACCCUGGAGUCAUGACGGUACCGUAAGAAUAAGCACCGGCUAACUACGUGCCAGCCGCCGCCGUAA